CAUCACUACGCUAGAUGCAUAUCAAUAAGCGGAGGAAAAGAAACUAACAAGGAUUCCCUUAGUAACGGCGAGUGAAGCGGGAAGAGCUCAAAUUUGAAAUCUUCAAGGUUUUACCUUGACGAAUUGUAGUUUAAAGAAGUGUUUUCUGUUGAAGUUUUGGUAAAAGUUCUUUGGAAUAGGACAUCAUAGAGGGUGAGAAUCCCGUAUUUGACCAUUAUUUCCAACUUUGUGAUACACUUUCAAAGAGUCGGAUUGUUUGGGAAUGCAGUCCAAAAUGGGUGGUAAAUUUCAUCUAAAGCUAAAUACUGGCGAGAGACCGAUAGCGAACAAGUACCGUGAGGGAAAGAUGAAAAGAACUUUGAAAAGAGAGUUAAACAGUACGUGAAAUUGUCAAAAGGGAAGCGUUUGACACCAGUGUUGUUUUCUCGAAAAUCAAUUAAAAAUGGUGGGAUUUUGUGUUGUAUUGACUUUAUCAGCUUUCUGCACUUUUUUCCUAUCUUUUUUAAUGCACUUUUCGUUUAACAAGUCAACAUCAAUUUCUUUUGUUGUAAAAGAGUCAUUGGUAGGUGGCUUUCUUUUCGGAGAAAGUGUUUAUAGCCUUGUACCUCUGCAAUCGGAGAGAUUGAGGUCUGCAGCGUAGAUCCUUCGGGGUUAGAUACAUUUGUGCUAAGUUAUAGCUUUUCAUAGACAACUUGUUGACUAUGUUAAGUCUUGUAGCUUACUCGCUUAUGCUAUUUUACCUACGCUUAGGAUGUUGACACACGCGCGUGCUCG
rnacentral:rRNA from 1 species